UGGGGAAUAUUGCACAAUGGGGGAAACCCUGAUGCAGCGACGCCGCGUGAGUGAAGAAGUAUUUCGGUAUGUAAAGCUCUAUCAGCAGGGAAGAAAAUGACGGUACCUGACUAAGAAGCCCCGGCUAACUACGUGCCAGCAGCCGCGGUAAUACGUAGGGGGCAAGCGUUAUCCGGAUUUACUGGGUGUAAAGGGAGCGUAGACGGCAGCGCAAGUCUGAAGUGAAAUCCCAUGGCUUAACCAUGGAACUGCUUUGGAAACUGUGCAGCUGGAGUGCAGGAGAGGUAAGCGGAAUUCCUAGUG
rnacentral:rRNA from 1 species